GACGAACGCUGGCGGCGUGCUUAACACAUGCAAGUCGAACGGAAAGGCCCUGCUUUUGUGGGGUGCUCGAGUGGCGAACGGGUGAGUAACACGUGAGUAACCUGCCCUUGACUUUGGGAUACCCUCAGGAAACUGGGGCUAAUACCGGAUAGGAGCUCCUGCUGCAUGGUGGGGGUUGGAAAGUUUCGGCGGUUGGGGAUGGACUCGCGGCUUAUCAGCUUGUUGGUGGGGUAGUGGCUUACCAAGGCUUUGACGGGUAGCCGGCCUGAGAGGGUGACCGGCCACAUUGGGACUGAGAUACGGCCCAGACUCCUACGGGAGGCAGCAGUGGGGAAUAUUGCACAAUGGGCGGAAGCCUGAUGCAGCAACGCCGCGUGCGGGAUGACGGCCUUCGGGUUGUAAACCGCUUUCGCCUGUGACGAAGCGUGAGUGACGGUAAUGGGUAAAGAAGCACCGGCUAACUACGUG
rnacentral:rRNA from 1 species